CUUUUCUCCAUCAAGAAGCUUUAAGGUAGAGAGAGAGAGAGAGAGAGAGAGAUUGAGCACAAAAAAAAGAAGAAGCUUGGUUCCUUUGUAGCGAGUGAGCGAGUCGAGAGCGCACGCACGUGGAUUUUUCAUUGUUUCGACGUCACGAUUUCGUGGCUGCCAUUCAGGCUAGGAGAGCCGUAGCGGAUCAUUUCCUUAUCCCAACUAUCGUUCCUUUCUUUGGAUUUACGAUAUAGGUGGCUUCCGUGUUGUCAAAACUGGCGGACUAAUUUUUAUGUCCAUGUCAUAUUAUUUAGCCGAUAAGAUGAACUGUUGAUAUAGUUGAGAUAACAGUAAUAUUUUAACACCUAUCAGUAGAGUAAACUGAAACAUAUAUAUAUGUGAUAUUUUUCUAAAAGUCAAUAAACGACUACAGAUAGUGUGAGACUAUAAUUGUAUUUUGGGCACUAUGAUGGUAUUAACAUGAUAUGUUUGAUCAUCGCAUUUUACCACAGUCUGUAUGCUAUGUUGAGUUUGACAGUGAUACUAUACUCGGUUGGGGUAGCGUUCCGCGAGUGCCACUCCGAAGGUUGGGAUAUGAGAUAUUAUUAUGGCAUGAUAGUAGUCUGCGUGGUAGCGGACCACUAUAAGUGGGUGCUGGACAUGAGGCGGCACAGGUUAGACUGACUGUUGAGUCGAUCACUAUGAUUGGAUUUUAUUACAAUAUUUUAUUUAGUACUAAUUGAUACAUGAUAUUUAUGAUUUGUCGAUUUCAGUUAUAUUGUAGAGAUAUGAUAGUAGUAGUUACUCUCAACAAUUAUUCAUAUUAGUACUUGUUUAUUUACACUGCUCAGUCAUUUACUAUUUUUGCCUCUUAUGGACCAAGUGGUGUAGAUUGUCAGCAUUGAUGACCUUACUCACUGGAAACUAUUAAUAAUAGUUCUCAUACCCUCUUCAUUAAUAUUUUAUUUCAGAACCUUCAGCACUAGCGACUGAUCGAAACAAGGGGAUCAUAGAUAGUUAGUAUCUUCUACCUUCUUUGUGUGUGUAGCUAGACCAUCUAUCAGUAUAUAUAGCAGCAUGUAUAGCGGUUUGAGGUUUAGGAUAGUCAGAGUAGUUAUAGCAUUUCGAGGAUUGUUGUGCUGACAAUUAUAUAUCUUUACCUUGUUGUUAUGAUAUAUAGUUUUUAUUUUACUCUAAUACUUAUUGUUGUUAGAUUUUUGUUAAUUUUGUUGGUCAAAGUUUUUUGUCGCUUCGUAUGUAUAACAUGUAUCCUUGCGCAUGCGAUGAGUCUGUUGAUGUAAUCCGAGCUUCCAUUGUAAUCCAAGGCGUGACACAAACUUGUGAGGGUCGCUCCCUACAAAUCAGUACUCAGGAGUUAGCUUUUGCGACAACAUGCUCACCCGUGCAGGAUUGGACGAGGCUCAUUUCUAAAGGGAGAAUGUUGACUAUACCACAGGGCCAUUAGGCAUGGCACAAGUCGAAACGUUACUUUAUGUAAGUCCCGGUUGAUUAGAUAAAAGUUAAUUAAACUUGACAUUGUACGUCACAAUUAGUUGAUAUAUACAUAGUAUAUGGACAUUUUUGUUGGGCACUACACAUUUGUAUAUUUGAUAGUAGUAGAGCUACAUACAUGUUGAUUGACAUAGUCAUUUAGUGAUAUUGUGGUAUUUGAACUUUUACUUCAAUUAUUACAUCCAUGCUUUAUCCUUA